rnacentral:lncRNA from 1 species
GUGGGGCGCACGUGGAUGCAUUUCUGGGAGGAAACCAAGUACCAUCCGCUCUCGCUCGCUCCCAUCCAGUGUUUUCUUCCCCCACUGCCAGAUGCCCACUGCCCACCACUGAUCUACUGAGCCAGGGUGUCCUGAGUGAAUAGCACCCUUAAUGGCAGGCACAGCCAUCAAGGGGGCCUGCAGUCAUAAGAUCAUAAAAAUCACAGCAGCAGCAACAACAGCAGCCAUCUUUCAUGGAGCAUCUCCAAGUGUGUGCCACACCCUUUGCAAACACUGCCAAACAACUUGCAGAUGAGAGGAUUCAAGCUAAAUGACAGAGACUGGGUCAGGAAGCUGAGGUCUGAACAUCUCUGGCAGCCCUCUUUCCUCUAAGCCCCUGCAUCCCCUGUCCAUUCUCUGUCCUAGGAGCUGACAUGAGUGUGUCUGGGUUCCUGAUCCAAGGAGUCACUUUAUACACAGUAGACAAAACCCAAAUUGCAAGUGUGAGAUGCAUACAGAAACCAAGGUGAGCCCUAGAGAAAAGCAACCGAGAUCCAAUCAGAGGGGUAAGGGGAGAAGGAGCAGAGCAAUGGGCCUGAAAAGAGGAGCAGUAAGAGCAGGCAUCCCCAGGUCCAAGA